rnacentral:rRNA from 1 species
GGGUUGUGAGGUUAAGCGACUAAGCGUACACGGUGGAUGCCCUGGCAGUCAGAGGCGAUGAAGGGCGUGCUAAUCUGCGAUAAGCGCCGGUAAGGUGAUAUGAACCGUUAUAACCGGCGAUACCCGAAUGGGGAAACCCAGUGUGAUUCGUCACACUAUCAUUAACUGAAUCCAUAGGUUAAUGAGGCGAACCGGGGGAACUGAAACAUCUAAGUACCCCGAGGAAAAGAAAUCAACCGAGAUUCCCCCAGUAGCGGCGAGCGAACGGGGAGGAGCCCAGAGCCUGAAUCAGCAUGUGUGUUAGUGGAAGCGUCUGGAAAGGCGCGCGAUACAGGGUGACAGCCCCGUACACAAAAGCGCAUGUGCUGUGAGCUCGAUGAGUAGGGCGGGACACGUGGUAUCCUGUCUGAAUAUGGGGGGACCAUCCUCCAAGGCUAAAUACUCCUGACUGACCGAUAGUGAACCAGUACCGUGAGGGAAAGGCGAAAAGAACCCCGGCGAGGGGAGUGAAAAAGAACCUGAAACCGUGUACGUACAAGCAGUGGGAGCCCCACCACCAAAGCAUUCUCUGGUGUUGAAGGCCCUGCAAAGCAGCAUCGCGGUGGCGGAGCGUCGUUUGCGACGCCCAACACACAAAACAAGCGGUGAAUGCUUUGGGGUGGGGUGACUGCGUACCUUUUGUAUAAUGGGUCAGCGACUUAUAUUCUGUAGCAAGGUUAACCGAAUAGGGGAGCCGGAGGGAAACCGAGUCUUAAUUGGGCGUUAAGUUGCAGGGUAUAGACCCGAAACCCGGUGAUCUAGCCAUGGGCAGGUUGAAGGUUGGGUAACACUAACUGGAGGACCGAACCGACUAAUGUUGAAAAAUUAGCGGAUGACCUGUGGCUGGGGGUGAAAGGCCAAUCAAACCGGGAGAUAGCUGGUUCUCCCCGAAAGCUAUUUAGGUAGCGCCUCGUGAAUUCAUCUCCGGGGGUAGAGCACUGUUUCGGCUAGGGGGCCAUCCCGGCUUACCAACCCGAUGCAAACUGCGAAUACCGGAGAAUGUUAUCACGGGAGACACACGGCGGGUGCUAACGUCCGUCGUGAAGAGGGAAACAACCCAGACCGCCAGCUAAGGUCCCAAAGUCAUGGUUAAGUGGGAAACGAUGUGGGAAGGCCCAGACAGCCAGGAUGUUGGCUUAGAAGCAGCCAUCAUUUAAAGAAAGCGUAAUAGCUCACUGGUCGAGUCGGCCUGCGCGGAAGAUGUAACGGGGCUAAACCAUGCACCGAAGCUGCGGCAGCGAACGUAUCACCCAAGACAACUUUACGGAGUUGACGAUUGACGGAGCGAAGCGACGUCAAAGCGUUCAUUAAAGUCGAGUUGGCUUAGGGAUACGUUCGUUGGGUAGGGGAGCGUUCUGUAAGCCUGUGAAGGUGUGUCGUGAGGCAUGCUGGAGGUAUCAGAAGUGCGAAUGCUGACAUAAGUAACGAUAAAGCGGGUGAAAAGCCCGCUCGCCGGAAGACCAAGGGUUCCUGUCCAACGUUAAUCGGGGCAGGGUGAGUCGACCCCUAAGGCGAGGCCGAAAGGCGUAGUCGAUGGGAAACGGGUUAAUAUUCCCGUACUUGGUGUUACUGCGAAGGGGGGACGGAGAAGGCUAUGUUGGCCGGGCGACGGUUGUCCCGGUUUAAGCGUGUAGGUGUGUGUUCCAGGUAAAUCCGGUUCACUUUAACACUGAGGCGUGAUGACGAGGCACUACGGUGCUGAAGCAACAAAUGCCCUGCUUCCAGGAAAAGCCUCUAAGCAUCAGGUAACAUCAAAUCGUACCCCAAACCGACACAGGUGGUCAGGUAGAGAAUACCAAGGCGCUUGAGAGAACUCGGGUGAAGGAACUAGGCAAAAUGGUGCCGUAACUUCGGGAGAAGGCACGCUGACACGUAGGUGAAGUGAUUUACUCACGGAGCUGAAGUCAGUCGAAGAUACCAGCUGGCUGCAACUGUUUAUUAAAAACACAGCACUGUGCAAACACGAAAGUGGACGUAUACGGUGUGACGCCUGCCCGGUGCCGGAAGGUUAAUUGAUGGGGUCAGCGCAAGCGAAGCUCCUGAUCGAAGCCCCGGUAAACGGCGGCCGUAACUAUAACGGUCCUAAGGUAGCGAAAUUCCUUGUCGGGUAAGUUCCGACCUGCACGAAUGGCGUAAUGAUGGCCAGGCUGUCUCCACCCGAGACUCAGUGAAAUUGAACUCGCUGUGAAGAUGCAGUGUACCCGCGGCAAGACGGAAAGACCCCGUGAACCUUUACUAUAGCUUGACACUGAACAUUGAGCCUUGAUGUGUAGGAUAGGUGGGAGGCUUUGAAGUGUGGACGCCAGUCUGCAUGGAGCCGACCUUGAAAUACCACCCUUUAAUGUUUGAUGUUCUAACGUGGACUCGUAAUCCGGGUUGCGGACAGUGUCUGGUGGGUAGUUUGACUGGGGCGGUCUCCUCCUAAAGAGUAACGGAGGAGCACGAAGGUUGGCUAAUCCUGGUCGGACAUCAGGAGGUUAGUGCAAUGGCAUAAGCCAGCUUGACUGCGAGCGUGACGGCGCGAGCAGGUGCGAAAGCAGGUCAUAGUGAUCCGGUGGUUCUGAAUGGAAGGGCCAUCGCUCAACGGAUAAAAGGUACUCCGGGGAUAACAGGCUGAUACCGCCCAAGAGUUCAUAUCGACGGCGGUGUUUGGCACCUCGAUGUCGGCUCAUCACAUCCUGGGGCUGAAGUAGGUCCCAAGGGUAUGGCUGUUCGCCAUUUAAAGUGGUACGCGAGCUGGGUUUAGAACGUCGUGAGACAGUUCGGUCCCUAUCUGCCGUGGGCGCUGGAGAACUGAGGGGGGCUGCUCCUAGUACGAGAGGACCGGAGUGGACGCAUCACUGGUGUUCGGGUUGUCAUGCCAAUGGCACUGCCCGGUAGCUAAAUGCGGAAGAGAUAAGUGCUGAAAGCAUCUAAGCACGAAACUUGCCCCGAGAUGAGUUCUCCCUGAGACUUAGAGUCUCCUGAAGGAACGUUGAAGACGACGACGUUGAUAGGCCGGGUGUGUAAGCGCAGCGAUGCGUUGAGCUAACCGGUACUAAUGAACCGUGAGGCUUAACCUUACAACGCCGAAG